rnacentral:rRNA from 1 species
AUGAGGUCCGACUCCCACAUGCCGACGUCCUACAUUCCUAGCCAUUAUCGAUCCCUCAAAAAGAAAAUAGCCGAGUCGUUUCGGCAAAUGCGUGCUCCACUUGUUCCCACCAAGUCAUACAUCUUUGAGAUGGAUGGCAUGCUUGGCAUCUAUACCUGUAACAGCAUGACCACCGGCCAAGUUGUUGACAUAUGGGUGCUACACAACUACGAAAGUGAGGCUUGGGACUUGAAGUACCGGGUUCGAUUGCCGAUCGCGAGAAUCAGGGGGAGGCCUGAAGGUCCUGCUGGUGGUUGGUACUUUCUGGACGUUGUUUCGCCUUUCGGGUGA